rnacentral:rRNA from 1 species
GGGAUAGAAUUCCAGGAGUAGCGGUGAAAUGCGUAGAUAUCUGGAGGAAUACCAAAGGCGAAGGCAGUCCCCUGGUCCGAUACUGACACUGAGGUACGAAAGCGCGGGGAGCAAACAGGAUUAGAUACCCUGGUAGUCCACGCCCUAAACGAUGUCGAUUAGCCAUUGGAAGGACCCCUUUUCCUUUCAGUGACGUAGCUAACGCGUUAAAUCGACCGCCUGGGAAGUACGACCGCAAGGUUAAAACUCAAAGGAAUUGACGGGGACCUGAACAAGCGGUGAAUGAUGUGGAUUAAUUCGAUGCUACGCGAAGAACCUUACCUACCUUUGACAUGGCCAAAGUUCUACCGAGAGGCGGAAGUACUCGUAAGAGGAUUGGCGCACAGGUGCUGCAUGGUUGUCGUCAGUUCGUGUCGUGAGAUGUUGGGUUCAGUCCCGCAACGAACGCACCCUUAUCUUUAAUUGCUCCUAUUUUAACAGCACUUUAAGAAACUGCCAUGAUAAGUUGGAGAAGGUGGGGAUCACGUCAAGUCCGCAUGGCCUUUAUAGGUAGGGCUUCACACGUCAUACAAUGGUUAGAACAAAGAGCUGCAAAUUCGUAAGAAGGAGCCAAUCUCACAAACCUAACCUCAGUUCGAAUUGCGGUCUGCAACUCGAGCGCAUGAAGCCGGAAUCGCUAGUAAUCGUGGAUCAGAAUGCCACGGUGAAUACGUUCUUAGGUCUU